UACAGAGGGUGCGAGCGUUAAUCGGAAUUACUGGGCGUAAAGCGUGCGUAGACGGUUAUUUAAGUCGGGUGUGAAAUCUCCUGGCUCAACUGGGAGGGUGCGCCGGAAACUGGGGUGCUGGAGCGCGGGAGAGGAAAGCGGAAUUCCUGGUGUAGCGGUGAAAUGCGUAGAUAUCGGAGGAGACACCCGUAGCGAAGGCGGCACUCUGGGCCGGUACUGACGCUGAGGAGCGAAAGCGUGGGGAGCAAACAGG
rnacentral:rRNA from 1 species